rnacentral:rRNA from 1 species
CCUGGCUCAGAUUGAACGCUGGCGGCAUGCUUUACACAUGCAAGUCGAACGCGGGUGAGGGGCAACUCUCACCUGAGUGGCGAACGGGUGAGUAAUGCAUCGGAACGUACCUCGUAGUGGGGGAUAACGCCGGGAAACCGGCGCUAAUACCGCAUAUGCUCUGUGGAGGAAAGUGGGGGACCUGAGAGGGCCUCAUGCUAUGGGAGCGGCCGAUGUCCGAUUAGCUUGUUGGUGGGGUAAAGGCCUACCAAGGCGACGAUCGGUAGCUGGUCUGAGAGGAUGAUCAGCCACACUGGGACUGAGACACGGCCCAGACUCCUACGGGAGGCAGCAGUGGGGAAUUUUGGACAAUGGGGGCAACCCUGAUCCAGCCAUGCCGCGUGCGGGAAGAAGGCCUUCGGGUUGUAAACCGCUUUUGUCCGGGAAGAAAAGGCUCAGGUUAAUACCUUGGGUUCUUGACGGUACGAAGAAAAGCACCGGCA